rnacentral:lncRNA from 1 species
UUCUUUUAUUCAUGUUAUGUUUCAGAUAUCAAUGAGACACUCAGCCAGAGUUGUCUGAUAGGAAGUUGAUAAGGCAAGCAUAAGACAAGCUCAGAAGAGAGACUGGGAUUGGAUAUAUAGAACUAGAAAUUAUCCACCUAAUGAUAAUAAUCGAAUGUAUGCCACGUCAGGACAAGGGCUACUUGCUUUGUUGUUGUUACCUAUCCUGCCUUAUAAUCUUUCACAGAGUUCUGAGUUCAAGUUGCAGGCUGAUGCAGAAUAUGCUGAUUGGACCUAAGACCUUAGACUUGGUGAAACUGUCCUUGAAUCUCUCCCUUUGGACAUGGCUUCCAAAGCACUUUACAUGGAAUGAUAUCUCACUUGAGUUUCACAACAUUCCUGUAGAGUCUCCUGGAGUUGUCAGCUCCCCAGGAUCCAAAUAAUAAUCUUCACCACAGGACAAUGUUUUUGCAACUUAAAAAUUAUUCAGCUGAUACUUGUGACUUUAUUCAAGUCCAUAGUUUACAAUAAUUGGGCAGUAGCAAAAAAAGGGUGGAGGUGAAGAAACAAAAAAGUGCAAGUCAACUUGGUCCUUUUGGAAAUACAUAAAUAGAAUACCCAAGCUACCUUAUGAAGCCUGUGGUUCAAAUUUAUAUAUCUGCUCCUUAAUCUACUGUCCAGUACCUAUUAAAUCAAUCUCCAACAGUGGCUUCCAUUUCUGGCUACUUUACUCCUGUCUUAAAUAAACCCAAGAGGAUUUAUUUUCUAAGGAUUCA